GUCUAUCUCCAGGCCACAAUAUAGCUGAGAGCCACAGAAAACACCUGUCCCAUGGCUCUCCACAGGAGCAGUGUCCAGGCAGAACCUGUCCACUCAGCCCAGUACAGACAGCUUUAUGGUCCAGCUAUUCUCUGAUGUGAAAGGAAAACAAAUCACAGGAGCCACAGAAGUCAUGACAGACCUACUGGGAAACAAACUGCUCUUCACACCAUGAGAUGUGUAAUUCAAGGCAAUAACUGUCUUAUUCAUUGUCUGCACUUAAAACUACGUUUGAUGCUCAAAAUAUCUGUGAACCAAUGAAAAUUUCAAAUGAGCAGCAGGAUGAAAAGCAAAUGAGAAAUUUAAUCUGUUCUUCCAGUAGAAGGAAAUAAUUAUUAUAUAUUGAUUCAUUCUUCCUGAUUGGUUAGUCAGAAACAGGUUUUGAAAUUGGCAAAAGGCUUUGGAAAUGUUGGCUUUAGGAAUAGCCUGAAAUGAUGCCAAUGAGUCCAUUUACCCGUCUCAAACAAGUACUUCUCACAGAGAAGUGGUGAAGACUCCCCUUCAAGCAUUUGCAUCCAGAUACCCAUGGGAGUUCUAUGGCAGUUGGAGCUGUCAUAGCACUGUUGACUGAAGUGGGUUGUUUGGCACAGGUUGGUAUGUAACUUAGAAAAAGAAGGAAACAACACUGAGAAUUUGCGAUGAGAGAAAACAGGAUAGAUAAAUAUCUAGAGGGCUGAAUAAACUAUGGAAAGAAGUUGGAGAAUAAAAUCAGGAUUUCAUGAAGUUCCUUUAUCUCUGACAGAAUGCCACCCGUGAGUGAGCUCAUGGUGUAUGUACAUGAAGCAUGUAAGACGGAGAGUCAUGAUAAGCACUGAAAGUGUAAUCAGCAGUAUGAUGGACGUUAUCUUUUCCUGUGUCCCCAUUAACACACAUGAAUAAGGCCCAGGACACAAAUGAUUACUGCACCAAAUGGGUUUUGUGGUCAGUGGUCGGUGAUAGUGAGGAAGGAUGGCCAAGAAGAUCACCUGUACAGACAUGUGCCCCAGAAAGUAGACAAGAUACUUUUUCAACAGGGACUUUUGCUGGGAUAGGUCAAAAGUCAUGUCUUCUUCCAUCUUUGUGUGGUCUGCAUCACUGACAAUGUUGUGGGAUCUUUCUUCAUCUACAGACUUCUUCUUAUGCAUCUCGGUUUGUUUAUGCAUAUUCUGAGAGACAACAAACUCUAUCACAAAAAGGAUGGAGGAAAAGAUAAAGCCAACCAUGUACCACACUCCUAGAACAGGCCAUGUGAAGUGGUUCUCAUAGCACUCUGCUAGACAAGCUUCCGAGAUAUUCCCAUGGCACUGGAAUUCUUCCUUGAUAUCAAGCCAGGGGAUGUGCCCUACACACACAACUGAAGCAUAAAGAAGAGCAAUAGUGAACUACAGUGCUCAUGCUCGCCCUAUGUAGAAGUUAGUGGGAUCUCUGCUCAUCUGCAGUAUGACAGGUGCCACACCCACAACUUCUGAUCUCUCAGCCAUCUUGGAACCUAGGAAGACAAAGUAGCAUGUAGUACUAGAAUGACAGCCUGAGAAUCAACAUAUCUUGUUCUGAACUCCAUUUAAGGUCAAUAAGGUAAAAUGGCAAGACUAACCUCUGGCAAUUUGUGUGUCCCUCCACUCAAGCUCCUCCUGUCACACUAACUGGAUUGUGCUUAAGUCACACUAACUGGAUUGUGCUUUAGAUGAUCCCAGAUCUCUAUAAUUUGUGACAUUGCAAUAUAAGACACAAGCAAAAUUAUCUCUGUGGCCUAUUUCAGAAAAAUCUAGAACAUAUCUUCUCAGUAGAAAUUAAAUACCUAUUGUGCUAUGAAUUUGCUGCUUGUAGGUAAAUUCUUCUCAGGUCUAAUAACUGUCUGUCCAGUUUUCUCCAUCAUCACUCUCACUCCUUACUAUCACAUGAUCGUAUCUCUCAGCUUUCAACAAUAGCUGCCUAAUGCCAAUUUCCUCUCAUUCUCCACUAUUGCCACAGGCUUUCUGUAGCAAACCUUAUUUUCCUUUUUCCAUGCUUUUCUAAAAAAAGGUUUACACUCUUUCAACAUCAUUCACAAGGUCCUACUAUGUUAAAUCCCCACUUAGCAAGUUUCGACUAUGACCUCCAAACCCAUUCACGUCACGCUUCACCCAACUUUUAGCCUUGCACCUGCGAUGUUCUCUUUCACUCCUGGGUCUUCACAUUGCUUUACUUUCCAAGAGUGACAAUUUUCAGAACAGCCCUCAUUCAACUCUCCAGCUGUGUAACUUCUACUAGUGACCUAAUUCUUUGAGAUGUCAUUCCCUGCAGGAGGACAUCUUUGCUCUUCCAAGUCUAAGUUAAGAGGCAUUAUUUGGUUUUCUUACCUCAUCUUAGGCCUUACAACACUGCCUGUUUAUUUGCUUUUAAUAUCUACUCAUAUGUAAAUGUAACCUCUGCAUAAUAGGAAAUAUGUCUAAUUUGCUUCCUAAUUUAUACCCAAGGCUGGCACAUUGUAAGUGUUGAAUAACUAUUUGGGGAAUAAAUUCUUACAUGG